GAUAAACGCUGGCGGCGUGCCUAAUACAUGCAAGUCGAGCGAACGGACGAGAAGCUUGCUUCUCUGAUGUUAGCGGCGGACGGGUGAGUAACACGUGGAUAACCUACCUAUAAGACUGGGAUAACUUCGGGAAACCGGAGCUAAUACCGGAUAAUAUUUUGAACCGCAUGGUUCAAAAGUGAAAGACGGUCUUGCUGUCACUUAUAGAUGGAUCCGCGCUGCAUUAGCUAGUUGGUAAGGUAACGGCUUACCAAGGCAACGAUGCAUAGCCGACCUGAGAGGGUGAUCGGCCACACUGGAACUGAGACACGGUCCAGACUCCUACGGGAGGCAGCAGUAGGGAAUCUUCCGCAAUGGGCGAAAGCCUGACGGAGCAACGCCGCGUGAGUGAUGAAGGUCUUCGGAUCGUAAAACUCUGUUAUUAGGGAAGAACAUAUGUGUAAGUAACUGUGCACAUCUUGACGGUACCUAAUCAGAAAGCCACGGCUAACUACGUGCCAGCAGCCGCGGUAAUACGUAGGUGGCAAGCGUUAUCCGGAAUUAUUGGGCGUAAAGCGCGCGUAGGCGGUUUUUUUAAGUCUGAUGUGAAAGCCCACGGCUCAACCGUGGAGGGUCAUUGGAAACUGGAAAACUUGAGUGCAGAAGAGGAAAGUGGAAUUCCAUGUGUAGCGGUGAAAUGCGCAGAGAUAUGGAGGAACACCAGUGGCGAAGGCGACUUUCUGGUCUGUAACUGACGCUGAUGUGCGAAAGCGUGGGGAUCAAACAGGAUUAGAUACCCUGGUAGUCCACGCCGUAAACGAUGAGUGCUAAGUGUUAGGGGGUUUCCGCCCCUUAGUGCUGCAGCUAACGCAUUAAGCACUCCGCCAGGGGAGUACGACCGCAAGGUUGAAACUCAAAGGAAUUGACGGGGACCCGCACAAGCGGUGGAGCAUGUGGUUUAAUUCGAAGCAACGCGAAGAACCUUACCAAAUCUUGACAUCCUUUGACAACUCUAGAGAUAGAGCCUUCCCCUUCGGGGGACAAAGUGACAGGUGGUGCAUGGUUGUCGUCAGCUCGUGUCGUGAGAUGUUGGGUUAAGUCCCGCAACGAGCGCAACCCUUAAGCUUAGUUGCCAUCAUUAAGUUGGGCACUCUAAGUUGACUGCCGGUGACAAACCGGAGGAAGGUGGGGAUGACGUCAAAUCAUCAUGCCCCUUAUGAUUUGGGCUACACACGUGCUACAAUGGACAAUACAAAGGGCAGCGAAACCGCGAGGUCAAGCAAAUCCCAUAAAGUUGUUCUCAGUUCGGAUUGUAGUCUGCAACUCGACUACAUGAAGCUGGAAUCGCUAGUAAUCGUAGAUCAGCAUGCUACGGUGAAUACGAUCCCGGGUCU
rnacentral:rRNA from 1 species